rnacentral:lncRNA from 1 species
GGCCCCUCCAGACGAUGGCCAUUCCUGUUGCCUUGGUCCGCAGGAACGAUGGGUUAUGCAUGAACUUUGUAGAACAUGGCCUUGUCUUCACCAACGCGGAGGAGAGCCCGUUCGGUUCCAGAGAGGAUGCUGCCUCAUCUCGUCUCUAAAAGAGGAGGAAGGGGAGCAGGUCCCUUCACGUUCUCUGGUCUCAGCUGAGAACUCUCCCUGGAAGUAGCGGGCCGUGAAAUGUUUCACAAGUGACACCAGUGAUGCUGUUAAACAAGGACAGUCCGGUUCAUGGAUUGUGACAACGCACGCUGACAUCAAGCAGACCCUGCCGUCAGGUACAGAGGGCACCACAGUGACCAGGAACUGCUGUCCUUUCAUACCAGGUUUUAGGAGACUUUACCAGAAGGAAUGGAAAAUGCUGGUGGGCAGUAAGAUUGAAACAGCAUCUGAGGACUGGUUCUGCACAAAACCUUAAAUUCUUCAAGGACUUUGACAUUUGUUUAUUCUUGUAACAAAUUAAAACCUAUCCUGUGUGUUGGUUAGAGAUCUUCAAACUGUAAAUACCUUGAGGCAGGAGUGAGGUUUUUAUCUUCUAAAGGACAGGCCCCUACUCUCCUACGUAAUGAGUUUCUAAAAAUGGAUGUGAGCACCAAUCAAUAUUUCUCUGGUUGUUAAAGUCAAGAAUAAAAUGGUAUUUUUAAGCUUG